rnacentral:lncRNA from 1 species
GAAUCGUUUAUUCAUCUGUACGUGUGAAGCUACAUUCUCAUUUCCCGCAUACAAUAACAAUGAUUCACAGAAUAUCGAAUCGAUUUAGAUAUUUGAGCGAGUCCUGCGCUCGGAGCUUUUCGGCUGUGUCAGCUAUGAGCCACGAUUCAUGCCAAAUGAUUCAACGUGUGAACAAAGCGUGAUUCCUCACAUCAGAAUCAGCGUCUAAAUCGACCUUAGCGUAGUGCGAAUGAAAUGUUACGUCAUUUGAUAAUUUGCUGCUAGUCAACUGGUGUACACCCUAUGUCUAUUGAUUAAAAUUAAUAUACAUAUUCUGUUUUCCAAGCUUCUUUUAUGAUAAAACCUAUUUAUAUACCUUUCAUGUAUAUGAAUUUCGCUAUCGAUACAGUCUGGGUACCUGUAAUUUGGAAAAUUUCGUAAAACACGAUAUUCGAUAUUCGGUCUGGCAGCUUUUUGUCGUUUUUAAAUCUGUCCUAGCCGUUGGAAACGGCCUUUCUUCC